rnacentral:rRNA from 1 species
CACGUAGGGCGCAAGCGUUGUCCGGAAUUAUUGGGCGUAAAGAGCUCGUAGGCGGUCUGUUACGUCCGCUGUGAAAACCCAGGGCUUAACCCUGGGCUUGCAGUGGAUACGGGUAGACUAGAGGCAGGUAGGGGAGAAUGGAAUUCCCGGUGUAGCGGUGAAAUGCGCAGAUAUCGGGAGGAACACCGGUGGCGAAGGCGGUUCUCUGGGCCUGACCUGACGCUGAGGAGCGAAAGCGUGGGGAGCGAACAGG